ACUGGCUUCAUCGGGGAAACAUUGGAUGUUUGGGGUGUGAUCUUUUCUGCUCACGAGGAUUUGCCCUUCUCAUGAUUUAAAACGGUGUUGAACAACUGUCUUAGCUUGGAGAUGAAGGGUGGCAGAGCUGCUGGAGUCCCAAGCUUCCUUUUGCUUAUAAGUGCGCUGCUUAACUGUCUCUGUAAAGAAGCAACUUGAUUUCUGGUCUUUGGCUUCCCCAUCAGGCAGCUUCUACCCUGAGAGUGGAGCAGAAGCCUCAGGUGCCGUGGCAGGUGACUGACGUGGACACAGCACACGUCACUGGAAAUCUGGCUGAGCGGAGGGUGAGCAGAAUGUGGCCAAGCCUUUCCGUACGCAAUGCACAUCGGGAUCAGGUGAGACGCCAUCCUCCCCUGAAUGGGGGCUCCCACUGUACAUCUGGCACCCACCUCACAGGUGAACCUCUCCGCUCCUAAAUGAUGACUGCCCCAGGAGUUGACAUGUAUGGAUUCUAUCAACGGGUCUUGUGCCAUCUGGCCUCUGACUGGGUUCUGACGAAGGGGAGCUUUGGCAGGAGAGGAGGAUGGAGGCCAAUUCGCUCUGCUGAAUCCCUCCUUCUGUGGUUGCCUGGAGCUGAUUGUCUCCUUUGGUUGAAGGUCUCUGCUAUUCUUAAGGUAAUGCAGGAAUCUCUCCUUCCGGCCCCAGGAACUGCUCUUUUUAUCAUCUCUGUGCCCAGCCACUGGUUCCUGCACAAUCCCUUGAGGUUUCACUAUAGACACUUAUCACUUUGUAAUUUGUCCCUAUGCAAGUAAACGUGCCCUGAGUGUGCCACCUGUUUUCUGCCGGGACCCUGCCUGAGAGAGUGCCACAGAGGAGAUAGAAGGACAGCAGCUAGAGAACCGCUGGGGAGGGAGAGGGCGUGGAAUGAGGGGAGGCUCCAAGGGCGGUUGACAUUUGAGCUGCCCA